UUUGUCAAAGACAGUCUAAAAUGAAUUGAAGCGUUACAAAAUCAUGAUAAUCUAACAAACAUAAUAUAAUACAAACUUUGUUUCAGUAGAAUAAAUAAUAUAUUUUCUUUUAGAUACAGCAUUAUUUAUGCAGCAAAAAAUUACCAUUUUUCAUGGGUUCAAUCUGACAACAUUGACCAAUGUUCCGUUGUUGGUGGCGAGUUAUGUCGUUCAUACAAUUUUGCUGAUUUUUUGAUAGAAAAAAACUGAUUCUUCUGGAUUCUGUUUGAGAGUAUUCUGUUCCUUAAUACCUGCUUAACCUCGUCAAAACGAGCUCAGUAAUAAUACACACCAGCAUGUAUUAUAAAGGCCACCUAAAGGAAGAGUGGGCGACCACUUAUAUGUAUAAUCCUGAUGUUCGACCAUCAUUCUGGUUUAUGAGUUGGUCUUCCAUCAUCUUAUUAAAAGUUUUCUACAAAUUCUGCAACAAAUCAAUGGAUAUAUACAGUUUCAGGGCAGUACAUUUAUCCUUUUCAUGAAUAUUACCAACAAUAAUGCAUCGGGACUUAUAUAUAAGUAUAUCAAAAAUUAUUUCUUUUGGGAUAUUGUACUGCUUUGGAACAACAAUUUUUGGACAAGGACAGCUGCACAUCAAUUCAACCACACUCUUCGUAUCAUUGGGUUAGGAUGUUAUUAGGUUGAUUAAAUUCAACAAUCAACAGCGGAUUAAGAACGAAAUUCAUCAUUGAAGAGGAAGCUAAAUAAUUUUAGAACCAAGAUCCAGAAGUGUAGCGAGAAGAUUUACUUAGGUACCUCAACAUAGUCUUCAGCAUAUCCAUCAACACUGUUAAUUUAAUAUACAUUUAUAAUAAAAUAUAAUACGUAAA